rnacentral:rRNA from 1 species
AAAGAACUUUGAAGAGAGAGUUCAAGAGUACGUGAAACCGCCCAGAGGUAAACGGGUGGAUCCGCAAAGUCGGUCCGCGGAAUUCAGCGCGGCGCGCGGCCCGGGGUCGCCGCGGUUCGGGAUCCUUGUGAACCGACCGCGGUGCCGAGCCGGGCUCCGCCGCGUGCACUUUCCGCGGACGGAGAGCCACAACCGGUUUGGUGCGCUGCGGCGACAGGCCGGGAGGGUUGUAGGUGGGGGCGCCCGCGUCCCUACCAGCCCUCCCCGGUUAGCCGCCACCGGACCGAGGGACCGCCGCGCGCUUCGAGGCCACCCUCCCCUCCGGGCGAGUACGACUGGGAGAGACUGGGCAACCGUGUCUCCCGACCGCUCGCCCGCGAUCGGCGCCGGGGCUGGCCGGGCGCGAGAGUGAGCAGGGUUAGUGGCAAGUCUGUCGGCAUUCCACCCGACCCGUCUUGAAACACGGACCAAGGAGUCUAACAUGCGCGCGAGUCAUUGGGCGGUACGAAACCCAAAGGCGCAGUGAAAGCGAGGGUCGCCUCCGAGCGGCCCAGGUGGGAUCCUCUCCUCUCCGAGCAAUCUGUGAGGGGUGGC